UUCAUUUAAUAUUCGACGUGGUAGAAUCGCGAUUUUUUGGGUGUUUAUAACCCGACAUUGAUCUGCGUGCCGGAUUAACACCCCCUUUCCCCAAAUUGCCCAUUCUCAUUAUUGCAAUUCGAAAUUGGUCAAGCAGCUCAAGGUGCGAAACCUCUUCCACACACGGGAAGAAAGUGGUUGUCCUCUUCACCCGGCGCCGGAAGUUUAUGCACAAGGGCUCGAUUUAGCCUGCGCAAGCACAAAGUUAAAGCCGCCUCUCAAGGAUCUCGCUUAGCAGAAGAUAUUGGUUGUCCUUAGUACUCGUCGGCGGAAUUUCAUUAGAAGAGAAUCGAUUUAGAUCGCUGAAGGUAAUGUCGUCCUUUUGCAACCAUAUUAUGCAAAUCUGCAGACGUUUUAGUUUGAUUUUUAUGAGUAAUCGUUUGGAUCUAGUUUUUAAAAAGUAUCAGGUGCUUCUAUGUGUCUCCUUUUAGUGUGAAUCCCUUUUUAUUUUGCGCAUAGUACUUUUGAUUUCUGUUGAUGAGCUUUUCAAUUAGUCUAUGUGCUCUCUCGGUACAAAUGUGUCGAAUACUCCAUGGGCUUUUCUGCAGAGUUUGUUGUAAUGGGUAGACAAUUAAAUUGGUAAUUUCUUGUUUGUGACCAUCAAUAUGAUUAUAGCUGUUCAGAUCUACUAUACAUGUGGUGUGACGAUAAUUUCUUUGGUUAUUCCAAUGUCUUAUUCUGAAACUUUUGUUGGUGUAGUGGUCUGAUCCUGCUGCUACUAUUACCAUCUGUGGUAAUGGCUCGUCCGUUUCGUUUUUCCAAAGUCGUGUACCUCAUGGUAGAAGAGAUAAUGCAUCUCUUACAUAUGCACACACUUAUCCUGUUGCACGUAUAUCUGAAAAGAAUUGCAUGUUGCGGUCCGCGUAAUAGGCAGAAUCUAAUUAGGUAUUCACAUAAAGAUACGAUGCCCCAACAAGUAAGACAUAUGAAUAGACUCACAAAAAUUAGUGACAUAGAUUGUUUCGUGAACUUACGCAUGGAUAGGAAUGCAUUUGGUCUUUUAUGUAUCCUGUUAAGAGACGUUGGUGGGCUGCGAGAUGGAAGAUAUGUAUUACUAGAGGAACAAGUAGCUAUUUUUCUAAGUAUCCUAGCUCACCACAAGAAAAUUCGUCCUUCUGGUUUUGAUUUUAAGCGGUCCGGGGAAACAAUAUCGCAUUACGUCCAUCUUGUGCUGAAGGCAGUUCUUAGACCUCAUACCAUUCUCUUGCCACAACCUGAUCCUGUAACGAACACUUGUGUUUAUCAUCGGUGGAAACAUUUUAAGGUAAUGAACUCUGUGACCCAAUACACAUAACAUUUUAAGGUAAUGAACACACCAUUGUCUUUGAUACUUGUCAUUUUUUUCAAAAUUGAUUAUUCUUUCUUUAUAAGUACAUCACCAUCCUGACCGAUUGUGGUAUUUUUAGGAAAUUACUUUCUAUGCGAUAAUGGAUACGCAAAUUGUGAAGGAUUCCUAACGCCGUUCAAAAAUGUUCGUUACCAUUUGAAGGAAUGGGGCGUCGGUACCCAAAGACCCCAAAAUGCUCGUAAAUUGUUUAACUUAAGGCAUAGUAAAGCUCGUAACAUUAUCAGCGAGCUUUUGCAGUUCUUAAAAUGAGAUGGGGCAUUCUGCGAAGUGCUAGUUUCUAUCCGAUCAAGAUCCAAAUUCGGAUGAUAAUGGCUUUCUUCUUACUCCACAAUUUUAUUCGUGAUGAGAUGACGAACGACCCAAUAGAACAGGAAAUUGCAGGUGACAUACAGAUUGGCGUUGUAGAUGAUGUUGAUGGUGAAAUUGAAUAUGUUGAUCAAGUAGAGACAACAAAUGUUUGGACUCAAAUGAGGGAAGAUUUGGCUAACUCAAUGUGGAACAAUCCUCCUAAUGUCGAUGACAAUAACCGACAGUGACAUGAUACCCGAGUGUGUUUGUGGUCGAGGCAAGAUGAAGUUGUUACGUGCUGGGAAAGAUGCCAAACACUGCGGUAGGUGGUUUUACAAGUGUCUGACUGAUGCAAACCACUCGGGGUCUUUCUUGUGGUGUGACGACUAUCAUAGUAGGAUUGGUGAUGACACGCAACCCGACUACGUCUUGAACCAAACGUACCGCCCUACAAAGACAGUGCGCAACACCGAUGAUGAGAAGAAUAAAAGGAGAGCUAGCAGUGGACACGUUUGUGGAGUUUGUGGCCGAUGCCAAGCUGAAAUUAGAAUGGACUUUGUGUUGGUUUUCAUGGGUUUGGUAUUGUUAUUGUUGGGGGUUGUUUUAGGGAAACUAUUCUAGUUUUCACUUGGACUUAUAUUUAAAUUUGAAUUGUAGGAUGCCCUCACUGCAUAAACAUAUUGACGGUGGUUUUUGUAUUUAACCUAUUUAACUAUUUUGCAAGACAUAUCAAUGUUGUGGUGUUGUUUA